rnacentral:rRNA from 1 species
CGCAAUGGGCGAAAGCCUGACGGAGCAAUACCGCGUGAGGGAUCUGACGGCCUUUGGGUUGUAAACCUCUUUUAUCAAGGAGGAAGUUCUGACGUGUACUUGAUGAAUAAGCAUCGGCUAACUCCGUGCCAGCAGCCGCGGUAAGACGGAGGAUGCAAGUGUUAUCCGGAAUCACUGGGCGUAAAGCGUCUGUAGGUGGUUUAAAAAGUCUACUGUUAAAGCUUGAAGCUUAACUUCAAAAAUGCCGUAGAAACUUUUAAACUUGAGUAUGGUAGGGGUAGAGGGAAUUUCCAGUGGAGCGGUGAAAUGCGUAGAUCUUGGAAAGACCACCAAUGGCGAAGGCACUCUACUGGGCCAUUACUGACUUUUAGAGACGAAAGCUA